AUUGAACGCUGGCGGCAUGCCUUACACAUGCAAGUCGAACGGCAGCAUGGAGAGCUUGCUCUCUGAUGGCGAGUGGCGAACGGGUGAGUAAUGCAUCGGAACGUACCGUGUAAUGGGGGAUAACGUAGCGAAAGUUACGCUAAUACCGCAUACGACCUGAGGGUGAAAGCAGGGGAUCGCAAGACCUUGCGUUAUACGAGCGGCCGAUGUCAGAUUAGCUAGUUGGUGAGGUAAAGGCUCACCAAGGCGACGAUCUGUAGCGGGUCUGAGAGGAUGAUCCGCCACACUGGGACUGAUCCACGGCCCAGACUCCUACGCGAGGCAGCAGUGGGGAAUUUUGGACAAUGGGGGCAACCCUGAUCCAGCCAUGCCGCGUGAGUGAAGAAGGCCUUCGGGUUGUAAAGCUCUUUCGGCCGGGAAGAAAUCGCACAGGCUAAUACUCUGUGUGGAUGACGGUACCGGCAUAAGAAGCACCGGCUAACUACGUGCCAGCAGCCGCAGUAA
rnacentral:rRNA from 1 species